CUAGCAGCCCUGCACUGUGCCACGGCGUCCCCUCCAACCUCGCCGCCAAUUAAUACUCACCCACCCUCGCAUCCAGCCCUCCCCCUCCUCCUCCCACCGCAAGCAAGCACGCCGUCGAUCCGCCGCCUGCCCCGCGCGCGCGUGGUCUCUCCGGGCGAUCUUGGAGGCGGCGCUAGCCGCUAGCUAGCUGCUCCGGGCCGGCUGGCUUGCUGGCCGGGGGCACUCGAAGGAGACGAGGGCGGGAGCCAGCCGAGUGAAGUGAAGUGAGGCGAGAUGGACCUGGUCCCGGUGCCGCACCCGGACAGCCCGCACUCCGACAACAGCGGCGGCGCCGGCAUCGGCAUCGGCGGCGGGGGCCCGGCGUCGGGCGCGCUGUCGCCGGCGGCGUCGCCGAGCCGGUACGAGUCGCAGAAGCGCCGGGACUGGAACACGUUCGGGCAGUACCUGCGGAACCACCGCCCGCCGCUGUCCCUGGCGCGGUGCAGCGGCGCGCACGUUCUCGAGUUCCUGCGCUACCUCGACCAGUUCGGCAAGACCAAGGUGCACACCCCGGCCUGCCCCUUCUUCGGCCACCCGGCGCCGCCGGCGCCCUGCCCGUGCCCGCUCCGCCAGGCCUGGGGCAGCCUCGACGCGCUCGUCGGCCGGCUGCGCGCUGCCUUCGAGGAGAACGGCGGCCGGCCCGAGAACAACCCCUUCGGCGCGCGCGCCGUCAGGCUCUACCUCCGCGAGGUCCGGGACCACCAGUCCCGCGCGCGCGGCGUCAGCUACGAGAAGAAGAAGCGCAAGAAGGCCCCGGCGCACCCCGUCCCCGCCGCCGUCAUCUCCUCCUCCUCCCCACACGACGGCAACGGCCACUCCCACCACUACGAGCACCAGAUGCCGCCGCCUCCGCCGCCCGGCGCCGCGGCGUGACCGCCCUGGACCGAGAAACCCCGGCCGGAGCUGCUCGGUCGCGCGGCCGCGCCCCACAUGGAUGCUACCGCAUGCACUACUCGACCGCCUUCCUGCUCGAUCGAUCGCUUGCUCGCUCUCUAUCCAUCUGGAGUUUAGCUGCCACUACUGCUGCUACAAAUUAGUUCCUACUUCAUUUCAUAUGCUUUGCUGCUGGUAUUGCUACUGGAUAGAUCUACUUCUACUACUGCCUCCUAAUUAGUUGUGAACUUGUGAUGAUAUGCUAGCUUGCUCCAUGCGUGAUGGCUUGGGAUUUUAAUCAGCCGGCGGCUACUACUCGGUCGAUCGAUUUGGUGAAAAUUAUUCAUCUCGGUUAAUUACUUGCUCCUGCAGUUCAGUUCCUCUUGUUCUUCUCAUAACCGAUUGCCAAUGUGUGAAAUGUUCUCUACUUGCUCUUGUGGAUUCUGGGUCUGUUUAGAUGAAACGCAAAAACUUUUUUGCAUUCAAAUCUUGCUAAUUUGAAGUACUGAAUGAAGUCUAUUUACAAAACUUUUUGCAUAGAUACAAAUCUAAUGAUGCUAAUUAAUCUAUGAUUAAUCAAUAAUUAGCGGAUGGUUAUUGUAGUAUUACUGUUGGAUCAAAACAUGGAUUAAGUAGUCUUAUUAGAUUCGUCUCGCGAUUUACAGUCCAUCUAUGAAAAAAAAUUAUAAAUAGACUUCAUUUAGUAUUUAGUAUGACUUCAUUUAGUAUUCUAUGUAUACGUCGAAAUAUUUGAAAUAUUUAAUGUGACGAUUUUUUUGGUUUACGGGAUUAUGUGGUGGGAAGGGCCUCUACACUUUGGUCUUUGGUGUUUCCACAAGUUGCUGGUGGUGCGUGAUGCGGUGAGUCAUGUCAGUUCCUGUCGUCCUCGCGGGGAAUCAACGUACUGUUGCAGUGGGUCACGGAUGGAUGGGUGGGUUGGUUUUGGUUCAAACUUCAAAUGGCGACAUGGCGUGCAGCUAGGGGGCGGGCGAUGCCGAUGGUGGAUGCGUGUGCGCUAGCAUUCUGCUUGCUGCUGCUGCCCUGCUCCCGCCUGCUACGAUACACUCUUUUGGCCUUUUGGGGCUCUUUUUCCUUUGCUUUUUAUGGUAGUUCUUGUCCUGCUAAUACCAUAAGUAGCUAAGCUUGCCUGGCAUCUUAUGGGUUACUGCAAACGAGAUAUGGCCGGCCGAUUGGAAUGUGGAAGUAUCUAUCUGGUGGCAGCAGAUUAUUUUUGCCUGGUCA